GCCGAUUUGGGUGCGAGGUCACCACUUUGGGGUCAGAAAUGGCCGUUUUGGGUGCGAGGUCACCAGUUUGGGGUCAGAAAUGGUCGGUUUGGGUGCGAGGUCACCAGUUUGGGGUCGCAGGUUCGGGGCUACGUGGCCUCGGGAGGAGCCCCCGGCGGCUCCUCCACCUCAUGCAGCGAUGGCUCCC